rnacentral:lncRNA from 1 species
CCAGCCAGAGCGAUUGAUUUCGCUCAACACAGCGUAAAGCUCCAGCUGUGUUGAUUGAGCGUAUGAUGUCCCUCUGCAGCAGCAACGUAUUUUAACUGCAGUUGCAGCGUUGCACCACUAUAGAGGCGCUAUAUCAACAGCAGUGCAUCGGAAAGACCUGAAGCAUCUACCGAAGAAGAAACGGAUCGAAUCAUGUUUUUUUUCCCGCUAGUUGGUGCUAUCGGCGUCCUGAUUUUCCCUGGCGGCUGGACACAAACAGGUAAAUACUGCUUGUCUUUUUUGCAUCCGAGCAUGACGUGUUUAUUUAAAAAAAAAGUUUACUCCGUUUUUAGCGUUGCAGUUAUGACGGGCAAAAUCAGCCAGUACUUUAAAAAGCGACCUCGCGAGGAGGAAAGUCAAGAGUCCAGGUGAAACACAGCAGAGAAAAAAAAGGAACAGGCAGUUAAAAUGCUAUAAUUCAUGGUGGUGACAAUGUGGAAAUUUGUGUCAGGUCUGAAAGUACUUCACAAGGGACUGGUGAUCGCGAGGGUCAGAAUGCAGGACAGGACGAGUCGGCGAGGCGAGGGUAAUUAAUUAAUUAGUUUCCAAUUAGGAGCAUAACAACGCAGAGCCGACGUGUACGUGGUUUUUAUUCCUCUUUCCAGAUCUUCUCAAAAACACAGAGCCAGUGGCUUUGACAAGCAGUGGCUCAAUCAAUUUACCUGGCUCAGGCAUACUGAGGAAGGCAUGCACUGCUAUUUAUGCCAAAAGCACUGUGCCCCAACACAGCAGGCAAUUGCUGCCUCCUUAGUGAGACAGCCAUCAACCAACUACAGGCUGGACACAUUAAAAAGACAUGAGGUGAUAGUCGUUCACAAAGCAGCAGAAGAGAAGGAGAAGUAUAUUAAAGAUGGUAGUACCUAAAAACACUCAACUAAUAAAGUUACAAAAACUAAAAUAACAUAGUUUAGAUAGUUUAAGAAAUAAUUGGUUGUCGUUUUUUUUAGGGAGGACACUGCAACGUAUACAUAUAUAUAAUAUAUGAUUGAAAACACUAUCACUCUUCAUGUCUGUAUCAGAAUAAAAACAAAAAUACUUCAUGCAUGAUGAAUUGUUUUGUUUAAGGUGAAGACACCUCUGCGGAACAGACUGAAGGAGAGGCACUUGGAUGUCUGUUGUAAGGUGGCCGUUGAUGGACCAGACCAGGAGGCCUUGGACUACAAGGAGUGCAUGAGGAGGUUCUACAGAAUGAAAAAG